ensembl:lncRNA
GCCACCCUUACUCAUUACAGAACAUUCUCUCUUCUUAUCUUGCCUUUUUUUAGCCUGAAGGACAAAGACGGAGAGAGGAGUCUUGAUUUUCCUUGUUAGUCUGCUCCAGCUGGCAGCCUUGCCAAUCUCUAAUAUCAGUUGUGAUGUGACAGUUAUUUUUUUUUUAACUCUAGCAUCUCAUUUUAUGCAAUUUUAUGGGUAACAGGAUGGGAAUUCAGCUUAGAAAACUUUUGACAAACAAUCAUUCAACAAUAAAAAUGAGGACAAAAAGGAUGACUAUGACAAGCAAAAUAAAACAGCCCCUGCUAUGCCAAGAAUGUACACUAAUCAUGUGUCCAAGGGACACGCUUCUUAUCUGUUUAAUAAUGACCUGGAACCUCCUUCUCAUCACAUCUCUCUUGGGCUCUGUAGUCGCCCAAAGCUGACUCAUGUCUGAAUUUAGAACAGUGGACACCCAGAGCCUCAGACUCUGAGCUUCAGAAGGGACCUCAGUGUGCAUUCUGGUUGAUUGGGUCCACCGCGUCCCCCACACAUGUUGGGAGUUAGAGAAACAAGAAUGAAGAGGGUUAUGGGUUGAACUGCAUCCCCUGAAAAGAUGUGUCAAAGCCUUAAUCCCCAGCACUUGUGGACGCACCCUUAUUUGGAAAUAGGGUCUCUGCAGAUGUAAUCAAGUUUCAGAUGAGGUCAUUAGGGUGGCCCCAAUCCAAUACAACUGCUGUCCUUCCCAGAGGAGGAGGGAUCCUGGGACAGACACAGGAGAGGAGAACACCAUGUAACAGAUGGAGGCAGAACUCGAAGGGCUGCAGCUGUGAGCUUAGAGAGCCAAGGACUGCUGGCAACCCAUCCAAAUCCAGCAAGAGGCAAGGAAAGAUGCUCCCCUCCAGGUUUCAGAAGGAGCCUGACCGUGCCAAUACCUUGAUUUCAGACUUCAGCCUCCAAAAUGGUGAGGCCAUGCACUUUCCACGGCAUCUCAGGGAGAACCUCGAGGCAGUCAGUAACUACUGUGGCUGCAGAUGCUGGGUUCACUGGUGAUGGUGGGGCCCGUCUGGUCUCCCCACUGGAAAGGAUUUAGUCAAGCAUCAGCCUGGGUUCAGACUGCAGGAUGAGAAAGCCUGACAUCCUUGAAAUUAAAGAAACCUUCAAGAAUCAAGACCCAACCUUCUGCCCCAACUCUAAUUCCUGUACUUCACCCAUCGUAGCUCCUCCACUCUCUUGCUCCC